GAUGAACGCUGGCGGCGUGCCUAAUACAUGCAAGUCGAGCGAACGGACGAGAAGCUUGCUUUUCUGAUGUUAGCGGCGGACGGGUGAGCAACACGUGGAUAACCUACCUAUAAGACUGGGAUAACUUCGGGAAACCGGAGCUAAUACCGGAUAAUAUUUUGAACCGCAUGGUUCAAAAGUGAAAGACGGUCUUGCUGUCACUUAUAGAUGGAUCCGCGCUGCAUUAGCUAGUUGGUAAGGUAACGGCUUACCAAGGCAACGAUGCAUAGCCGACCUGAGAGGGUGAUCGGCCACACUGGAACUGAGACACGGUCCAGACUCCUACGGGAGGCAGCAGUAGGGAAUCUUCCGCAAUGGGCGAAAGCCUGACGGAGCAACGCCGCGUGAGUGAUGAAGGUCUUCGGAUCGUAAAACUCUGUUAUUAGGGAAGAACAUAUGUGUAAGUAACUGUGCACAUCUUGACGGUACCUAAUCAGAAAGCCACGGCUAACUACGUG
rnacentral:rRNA from 1 species